UCACAGUCUACAAUAUUUGGUAUCUGUUCUCCAAACCUGCUGCUUCUCCCCCACCCGCCAUGCUUUCCUUCUCCAUUUCCUCUUUCUGUGAGUGCUCUUGUUGCCCGAGGUCAGUUUGUCACGGAGAACACAAGCUUUUCUCACUUGGACACAGCGAUUCAAUGAUUGGUGUGUACAAACAAUCAUAUCAGGCAGGGAUGACAUGCACCCACCUCCCCACCCACCUCUCUCACACCCUCCUCUCUCCUACAGACAUGGAAUAUGUCCUUCCUGCUCUCUGUGCUACUGUCUGUCUCUCACUCACACUCUGUGGGAGUGACUGUCCCCUGCAUGAGAUGGGUUACACAAGCCUCUGCCUUGGGAAUCCCGGUCCUGCUCAUUAUCCUGCGCCCCUGAGACACAGCUCAUUGUAAAUUAGGACAUCAAAUCGGGCUCGUUAAAGAGCCACAGAUACACUCAUUAGCAUUGGCACCUUUCCUCUUUAGUGCCUGUAUCAGCAUUCGCUCCCACCACCUUAUAUCCUGUUAUUCCUUCGCGCUGACUGGAAGGUUUAGGAUUAAUGUCAGUUCUAGCCAACGGGUUAGCACAGUUGUGGUUCAGAUAUGGGACUGAUUGAUCGAUGGUGGCGGGAAGCUGUGGAAUUUGUUGACAGCUGCCAACUAUCCCCACCACUUCUAUUCAUAUUUCAUUGUGUGGAAGGGGAGGGAAAAAAAAACCCUGUCUCAGAAUAACUCGUCUGGCAAGUGGCUGACUAGUUGUUUCACAGCUACAAGGGAUUAGCAAAAUGACUGAGACAUCUCAUACCUUGCAAAUGAUGCCUAGUUGGUUGAUUUGUCAACAUUUUUGCUGAUUUUGAGCAAAAAAAUGACCAUGACUUGGAUGCGUAUUUGCUUUAUAUAUAGGUGAAAGUGACUCUUCUCUUUGGCGUCAUGCUCUGUAUCAGUUUGUGCACUUACAUAAGGAUACACAUGCCCAGCCUCCAACAUGCAGUUGGCAGCAGCCGCACGGCAACAAAGGCAGUGAAGAGGAAGGCCGCUUGUGUUUAACAAUUUUGCUAAACUUGAAGGAUGCAGACAGUGUGUUUUGGCAGCAUUUUCAAUGCCAACAAUCAAAAACAGGAAACUUGGGGACCUCUUCUGAUUUUAGAAGGAAAAUGUUGCAUUUCAAGAACCCACAUGGGCUUCUGUCCAAUGAGAUAGACACCUGCCUUGGCAUGGUUGGUUGGCUGCAGGACUGGAAGACUCCAACAGCUAGGAAAAAUGUGUUUGAUUGGCAGACAAGUGAAGUGCAACAAUUGAUGGCAUUUGACCGUGAGCAUGAGGGAACAAUGAAAUGAAAUGAGUGGAGACUUGGGACAGGCCCUAAUGAGCCAUCUUCGCCUUAGUGGUGUUGCAAUCAUGGAUGUCCUGGUUUCUUUGCUGAUGUCUGUUCCUCUUUAGAUGUGAUGAUUUAUGCAAAAUGAGUGUAUCAGGUAGUGGGCUUGUCUCACAGAAGCAAACCAUGCAUCUUCAAAUGGACCAACAUGGAAUGGAAACUUUCAGAUAUGGGGAGCAAAAUUAUAGACCUGACAGGAGCAAAUAUAAUAGCUUGUCCUAACCUUCCAUCACUGUCUUGUGUCAAUCCAUACCAGCCACACUCCAUGUGUGUAAGACCCAACUGCUCUUUACUGUGAAAAUAUGUCAGCAUGAUUCAUAUCAAACAUUUGUUCUUUUUGUACCUGACUGGAGAUUUUCUCAUAUCCAGCAUGCUCUCCUAUCUGUCAUUGAGCUGCAGUAAAUUAGAAAUCUGAGCAUGCGGUUCUUGUCAUCAUGCUGUCUCAGUGGAUCCCCAAUGAUUAAUUGCUUAAAAAAAGAAGAAGAAGAAGAAAGAAACAGAUAAUGUCACAAGGAUUUAGUCUCUUUUUCAUACAUUUUUCCCCCAUCUCCUCUGCAUGCUGUCUGACCUCUGGUAGCAUGCAGCCAGUGGGUGAUUGAGUCAUCCCUCUUGCAUGUCGUCACUUCACUUCAUCCGUGUCUAUAAACUUCACCUCAUCUUGAUCCUGCUCUUCUCCUCCCCCAGGACCCAGUCAUCCUCCUCUUCCGUGGUUUCAGCUAAAACGAGGGCUAAUCAGAGCAUGUCAAGCAAGCAUUAGUUGCCACGCAUUUGUCGAUCACUGUAAUUAUCCACCCUCACUAAAUCAUUUAUUCAGUUUGGUUUACAUCUCCAAAACACAAGUAGUCAUUCAUCGUUUCACUCCCGGCGUGUUCAGCAUCCAGUCUUUUCAAACUGUUAUGUAAGUAUAAUUUUAAAUACAGUAUAAGACAAAGAUGGAAAUUCAUAAGUUAUUAUGGAACUUAAAAUAGUUGGUCCGUAGACAUGUUAACAACAUAGCUGGAAAAAAAAAUCCACACAAAACCGAUUUAGUAACGUGUUAGAGGUGUGUGAUGACUGUUUUACUCUUGUAGUCCGCAAAUCAUGAAAAAAGGUUGUCAUUCAAACUCUAUUAUUGAGUUCUUUGUUAUCACACUACAGGAACAUUUUCUACAAAACAGACAUUGCAGGUAUGCAAGGACACUUCAGAGGCCUAAGGCUCAGAUAAAGGCAGUUGAGCUGUAUGAACCUGUGAAAUUCAGUUCACAGGUUUUAAUGAAAUUAUAAAAGACAGCAUCAUCAGGGCCAGCCAGACUAAGGGAAACACCUGAAGUGGUUUAGUUUUGUCUUCUUUUCUAGAAAACAUCUCAUAACAAGUUUUAAGACAAAACUGAGUAAUAUGAAUAAGGCUAUGAAGGUGUAUAUAUAAAUAUAUGUCCUGCCAGUUUAUAGAGGUGCAGAGGUGGUGAUUGAUUUAUUGGAACUAUUUUUUCCAGGGUGAAAUGACUGUACAGCAUACUUCUUUAAUGACUUUAACAAAAUAAGAAUUGCGUGCACAAGUCUGAAAUUAUUUUGGAUUUUCUCUAAUUCACACAGAGUCAAAUUGUAAACAUAGAGGCUCAAAUAUAUACAUACACUCAUCUUUUUAUAACUGGUGCUGAAAAUUCUAUGAUGCCUUUCUUUAGUAUUCAGAAUUGACUAGAGCUGGUUCUUUCUCUUUGCCAACAUGAAAUGAUUUGUUUGACAGCACUCAUCGGACUGAUCAUAAUUCAGAGCAGUGAGAAAGUCCAAGCAACUCAGUGAAGAUCUAAAAUAGAGAAUUUACAUAUGUUGGGAAGGUCUCUUGGAGCUAUUUCUAAACAACUGGCAUUUCCAGGAUCAUCAAUUAAAUAGUUUAAUAUAAGUACAAGUUAUUCUCAUAUGUCAAUGACACAAACCAGCCAAGGUUUGGAGGAAAAUUCAAUCAAUCACCCUCAGAUGAGAAAAAAUUGGUUAGGACCUUCAGGAACAACCAAGGAACCAACAAAGCUCAAGCCUGUCAUGAAUUGAAUAUGCGGAAACACCAGCAUCACUGUCUACAGUGAACCAAGUUUUACAUCAUCUGUACUGAGAGGGUGCUGCAUAUAAGUGAUAGCAUCAUGCUCUGGGGCUGUUUUGAUGCCAGUGGUGCUGGUACAUUGUACAGAGUUGAUGGAAUAAUGAAGCAAGGAGUACUACCUUCAAAUUUUUCAACUUCAACUCAACAGGUAGACAAUUGGGUGUUCCAACAGGUCAGUGAUCCCAGAAAUGAACUAAUGAAUGUAAAUAAACUCUGCUAUUUCUGCCAAGAAGAGUGGUCAAAUAUCCUGCCUGGAUUAUGCCAGAAGCUUGUUGAUGGCUACAAAAACCAUCUGAUCAAGGUGCAGCUUGCUAAGGAAUAUUUAACCAAAUAUUACUGCAAAUGUGCUUAUAUAUUUGAACCUAUAUGCGAAAUUUUGACCGCAGGUGUAUUAGAGAGAUACACCUGGGGUCAAACUUGUACACCCAAUUCUUGUUUUUUAAAGUCACUAAAGAUAUAUGCUGUACAAUUAUUCCACCUGGAAAAACAACAGCUCAAGGAAACCAUUAAAGCACAAAAUUACCGUAACAUUCAUUCCUCUGGUGAGUCUGUGUAAACUUCUGACCACAACUGUAUCUGGCUCUUGACGUAUUGCCCCUACUUGCAGCUACUAAACUGUAAAACUCCUCUUAGUUUGCUACUAAAUGGUUUAUUUUUGGUGCUUUUGCCUUUGCAUACAAGUUUUGUUUCUGAUUAGCUUAGUCAGGAUUUUUUUCCCCUUUACAUCAUGGACUAGAAGUAGUAAAUCCCAUUUUUAAAGGAACCAGGCCAGUAAAUGGAGUCACAGCAGUAAUAUUCACUGUAAGUCUACAAAGCAGCAGGGUCAACUCUUGCAGCUUUUCCACUGGACCAGUGUUGACAAGUCACUGUUUCUAUGCCAACAGUGUAUUCGGCAAAGGUGAUUUUGAAAUUGCCUUCAUGUUGAAUGUUAACAGGCAUUUAUAGGGGCUUUAAGUGUAUGUUUUAAAGCCCUAAAUACAUGUUGCUGAUAGAGAGGAAUCACAUGAGCUGUACAACCCCUGGCAAAAAUGAUGCAAUCAACACACUUAGAAGAUGCUCACUUGACUGUUUUUACUAGUAACGACUAAACAAAUCACAAAACUUUUCCUUUUUGAUCAAUAACUGAACAUUCUUGAUGCAUGAAAUUUACUCUGAAUAAAUAUAGUAAUUUUAGUUAAUGACACAUUUUUCCCCAAAUCCAGUAAACGAAAAACAGUCGGAACAUCUUUUAAUUUUUUUUCUCUAAAACAAAUAUAGACAAAUCUAAAUCUGCAAAAUAGUCUGCAGUUAAAAGAGAGUGUUUGCAGACCACAGUGAGUUGUUGUGCUUGAUGUAAUGAAAGGAAGCAUGGCUCUAACAAGAGAGCUGUCAGUUGAAACAAUGGAAAUGAUUAUACAAGUCUCUCAAGAAGGAAAUCCAGCAUGUUGGUUUUGCCUUUCAGCUUUGUCUAAAAUGGUGAGAAAUGGUGAGCAAGUAGAUUAAUUUGAUGUUGGAGUGAAAAAAAAUUGAAUCCCGGAAAUUGAACUUUGUUGCAACCAUUCAGGGUUUUAUGGUGGGUGGGCAAAUUCACUAUUUUUCAAUUUCCACCUUAAAUUUUUACUGAAGUUGAGAUCUGGACUGUUUGCUGGCUGUGUUAUUGAGCCGUUAUGCCUUUCCUGAUGGAAAGCUUUAAGGCUCUUUGCUCAGGGAAAUGAGAAAAAUGUCCAAAAUGUAAUUGUUCAUCUGUGCAUUUACUGUAGAGGUAAAGCUUGCCAUCUCCUUUGGAACUUUAGCUAACAUGACCCCGUAGCAUAAAUGAGUAGAGGAGAAUCUGUUUGUUUGCGCUUACAUCUUUUAUAUGUGUGAAAUUUCCAGAUAUAUAUUUUAUAGCCUUUCAAUUUAGUUUCUGCUUGGUCCAAAUGUUAAACACGGCUGACUGGGAGUAGUCAACAUAUUUUGCAAUACUCUGUGCUCCUGUUGGGGGCAUGCUUCCUUUAAAGCAAUCAGGUGCAACAGCUCAGCGAGGUCCGCCAUCGCAGACUAUUUUGCAUAUUUUGAUUUGUGGAGGUUUGUUUUAAUAAAGCAUAUUUCCUCUACCUAAACUUGCUAGGGUUUGUGCUUCUCAUUUUUUCUUGGUCCAUCAUUAAACUUCACCUCAACCAACAGUGGUGCUGAGCUAAGUUGCUGAUUUAAAGGCGGAAUCUUUCCCGAGCGAAGGACCCGGGCUCUUCUGUUCCUGCUUGUUUGACCACAGAUCAUUUAACCAACACAGCCUAUGGAUCAGCACUUAAAUCCAAAACUUAAAGCUGUACUGUAUUGAACUAUGUUGUAUCUUCUGGUUAAAGAAGGUCUGAUAGGAACAAAUCACAGUCACAUAAUGUUCUGUGUGAAUCUGUGUCCAUGAUUAAAACCUUGAACUGUC